rnacentral:misc_RNA from 1 species
GUAACGAUUGUUUGUAUCAGAACAGGUAAUGCUAGAUGCAAAAAAGGUUUUGUUGGUUCCAACGGCAGGUUGCCCCACCGAAGGAGAACGAAGGUGCUCGUAUAAAAAGGGUUCAGAAAUGCGACGCGUGAAGGUGUUACCCCUACCACCCGAAAUCUCCGGGGGCCGCGACCGCAUCUGGUUGAGAUGGAUAAUGAUCCUUCCGCAGGUUCACCUACGGAAA